AAAGAGCUUGCUCUUUUCAGAAUUGAGUGGCAAACGGGUGAGUAACACGUAAACAACCUGCCUUCAGGAUGGGGACAACAGACGGAAACGACUGCUAAUACCGAAUAAGUUCCAAGGGCCGCAUGGCCCAUGGAAGAAAAGGUGGCCUCUACCUGUAAGCUAUCGCCUGAAGAGGGGUUUGCGUCUGAUUAGCUGGUUGGAGGGGUAACGGCCCACCAAGGCGACGACUCAGUAGCCGGUCUGAGAGGAAGGUCCCCACAUUGGAACUGAGACACGGUCCAAACUCC
rnacentral:rRNA from 1 species